rnacentral:rRNA from 1 species
CCGUAAACGAUGUCGACUUGGAGGUUGUGCCCUUGAGGCGUGGCUUCCGGAGCUAACGCGUUAAGUCGACCGCCUGGGGAGUACGGCCGCAAGGUUAAAACUCAAAUGAAUUGACGGGGGCCCGCACAAGCGGUGGAGCAUGUGGUUUAAUUCGAUGCAACGCGAAGAACCUUACCUGGUCUUGACAUCCACGGAAGUUUUCAGAGAUGAGAAUGUGCCUUCGGGAACCGUGAGACAGGUGCUGCAUGGCUGUCGUCAGCUCGUGUUGUGGAAUGUUGGGUUAAGUCCCGCAACGAGCGCAACCCUUAUCCUUUGUUGCCAGCGGUCCGGCCGGGAACUCAAAGGAGACUGCCAGUGAUAAACUGGAGGAAGGUGGGGAUGACGUCAAGUCAUCAUGGCCCUUACGACCAGGGCUACACACGUGCUACAAUGGCGCAUACAAAGAGAAGCGACCUCGCGAGAGCAAGCGGACCUCAUAAAGUGCGUCGUAGUCCGGAUUGGAGUCUGCAACUCGACUCCAUGAAGUCGGAAUCGCUAGUAAUCGUGGAUCAGAAUGCCAC